UAAUGAGGGAAGGAAAAGAAACUAACUAGGAUUUUCUUAGUAGCGGCGAGCGAAAAGAAAAUUAGUUCAGCACUAAGUUAUUUUGUUAUUUUAGCAAAUAUAAGAUGCAGUGUAUGGAAUAUCUAUAAUCUAGUAUGAUAAAUUAACAGUCUAAGUCCUUCUUAAAUGAGGCCAUUUACCCAUAGAGGGUGCCAGGCCCGUAAUGACGUUAAUGAUUACUAGAAGGUAUUUCUUAAGAGUCGUGUUGCUUGAUAGUGCAGCACUAAUUUGGUGGUAAACUCCAUCUAAAACUAAAUAUAACCAUGAGACCGAUAGCAAACAAGUACCGUGAGGGAAAGUUGAAAAGAACUCUGAAUAGAGAGUUAAAUAGUACGUGAAACUGCUUAGAGGUUAAACCCGAUGAACCUGAAUAUCUAAUAUGAAAAAUUCAUUGUUAAUAAUACAUUAUUAAUAUAUAAUGUAAAAAUAAUGUGCAAUUUUUUCAUAUAUGGACAUUGUAAUCUGUUAAUAUAUAAUAAAUUUAUCAGAAGUGCUGUUUGGCUAAGCUUAUAUUUUAAUUAUAUAAAAAUUAAUUUUUUUUUAUAAUUAGUAUAAAAUCCAAUUUAAAUAUGGUUACAGAUAAAUUAUUGACAGAUUUUAUAUACAAUAUAUAACGCUUACAUAUUUUUAUGUUAUAGUAAUAAUAAUAAUUUAUUUAUUAUAUAUACUAUAUGCGUUUAUAUGAUUAACAAUGCUAUAGAUUUAGGAUACCUUCGGGACCCGUCUUGAAACACGGACCAAGGAGUCUAACAUGUGUGCAAGUCAUUGGGUAUAUAAAACCUAAAGGCGUAAUUAACUUAACUGUUAUAAAAUGGGAUCAAUUAUAUAUAUAUUAAAUUAUAUUAUAUUCCAUCCCGGGGCGUUCUAUAUAGUUAUGUAUUUUAAUUAUAUAUCUUGUAUAUGUAUAAAAAGACCUCUAACUAGAGCGUACCUUGAGCAUAUAUGUUGUGACCCGAAAGAUGGUGAACUAUACUUGAUCAGGUUGAAGUCAGGGGAAACCCUGAUGGAAGACCGAAGCAGUUCUGACGUGCAAAUCGAUUGUCAGAGUUGAGUAUAGGGGCGAAAGACCAAUCGAACCAUCUAGUAGCUGGUUCCCUCCGAAGUUUCCCUCAGGAUAGCUGGUGCAUAUAAAUAUUAUUUAAAAUAAUCUUAUCUGGUAAAGCGAAUGAUUAGAGGCAUUAGGGCCGAAACGACCUUAACCUAUUCUCAAACUUUAAAUGGGUAAGAACCUAACCUUUCUUGAUAUGAAGGUUAGGUUAUGAUAUAUUGUGCCCAGUGGGCCACUUUUGGUAAGCAGAACUGGCGCUGUGGGAUGAACCAAACGUAAUGUUAAGGCGCCAAAAUUAACAACUCAUACUGAUACCAUGAAAGGCGUUGGUUGCUUAAAACAGCAGGACGGUGGACAUGGAAGUCGUAAUCCGCUAAGGAGUGUGUAACAACUCACCUGCCGAAGCAACUAGCCCUUAAAAUGGAUGGCGCUCAAGUUGUAUGCCUAUACAUUACCGCUGAAAUAUAUGAUUUAUAAAUUAUAUAAUUUAUAAAUUUUGAAGUUUUAGUGAGUAGGAGGGUACAAUGGUGUGCGUAGAAGUGUUUGGUGUAAACCUGCAUGGAGCCGCCAUUGGUACAGAUCUUGGUGGUAGUAGCAAAUAAUCGAAUGAGACCUUGGAGGACUGAAGUGGAGAAGGGUUUCGUGUGAACAGUGGUUGAUCACGAGUUAGUCGGUCCUAAGUUCUAGGCGAAAGUCGAAAAAUUUUUUAAGUUACAAAUAUGCAAUGCAAUAUAUGAUAUACUUAAAUAUUUUUGAACGAAAGGGAAUACGGUUCCAAUUCCGUAACCUGUUGAGUAUACGUUUGUUAUUAAAAAUGGGCUUUUAUGCUCAUCCUGGUAACAGAAACAACCAUAAAGAAGCCGUCGAGAAAUAUCGAAAGAGUUUUCUUUUCUGUUUCAUAGUCGUACUACCAUGGAAGUCUUUCGAAGAGAGAUAUGGUAGAUGGACUAGAAGAGCAUGGCAUUUACUGCUGUGUCGAUAUUUUCUCCUCGGACCUUGAAAAUUUAUGGUGGGGUCACGCAAACUUCUUAACAGGCCGUACCGAUAUCCGCAGCUGGUCUCCAAGGUGAAGAGUCUCUAGUCGAUAGAAUA
rnacentral:rRNA from 1 species